rfam:Salmo salar isolate Sally breed double haploid chromosome ssa03, whole genome shotgun sequence.
CAUAAUUUCUCCUGUAAGUCACUCUGAAUAAGAGUGUCUGCUAAAUGACUAAAA